UUGGUAUGCACUGGCUUUACUGAUUCCUCCUUCUUGACGAACCGUGAUGUCAUUAAUUUGGUGUUGCGGGAAAUCAGGACUGUUACUUUGAAAAAAUUAGAGUGUUUAAAGCAGGCUAACGCUUGAAUACAUUAGCAUGGAAUGAUGAAAUAGGACGUUUGAUCCUAUUUUGUUGGUUUCUAGGAUUGACGUAAUGAUUAAUAGGGAUAGUUGGGGGCAUUAGUACUCAAUUGUCAGAGGUGAAAUUCUUGGAUUUAUUGAAGACUGACUACUGCGAAAGCAUUUGCCAAGGAUGUUUUCAUUAAUCAAGAACGAAAGUUAGGGGAUCGAAGACGAUCAGAUACCGUCGUAGUCUUAACCAUAAACUAUGCCGACUAGGGAUCGGAUGAUGUUAAUUUUUUAAUGACUCAUUCGGCGCCUUACG
rnacentral:rRNA from 1 species